rnacentral:tRNA from 1 species
GGUAGGGUACCCAAGUGGCCAACGGGGGCAGACUGUAAAUCUGCUAGUCUUUACUUUCCAUGGUUCGAAUCCAUGCCCUACCACCA